rnacentral:rRNA from 1 species
AGGGCAAAAUGGGUGACUGGGGCUAAGUCGUAACAAGGUAGCCGUACCGGAAGGUGUGGCUGGAAUACCUCCUUU